GCCUCCUUAGCUCAGUUGGUAGAGCGACGCAUUCGUAAUGCGUAGGUCGCAAGUUCAAGUCUUGUAGGAGGCUCCA
rnacentral:tRNA from 1 species